AGAGUUUGAUCCUGGCUCAGGACGAACGCUGGCGGCGUGCUUAACACAUGCAAGUCGAACGGAGAUAGUAGCAAUAUUAUCUUAGUGGCGGACGGGUGAGUAACGCGUGGGCAACUUGCCUCAAACAGGGGGAUAACACAGGGAAACUUGUGCUAAUACCGCAUAACAUAUCGAAGUGGCAUCACUAUGAUAUCAAAGGA
rnacentral:rRNA from 1 species